rnacentral:rRNA from 1 species
UACGUAUGGUGCAAGCGUUGUUCGGAAUCACUGGGCGUAAAGGGUGCGCAGGCGGAUUGCUAAGUCGGAAGUGAAACCUGAGGGCUCAACCCUCAGCCUGCUUUCGAAACUGGUAAUCUGGAGUCCCGGAGAGGCAGGCGGAAUUCCCGGUGUAGCGGUGAAAUGCACAGAUAUCGGGAGGAACACCAAUGGCGAAGGCAGCCUGCUGGACGGAGACUGACGCUCAUGCACGAAAGCGUGGGGAUCAAAC